AGCAGCAAACAGUGCAGUGCUGCAUGGGAUUGUAGAUUUUUCUCUCAUUCAAGUUUUAAAUUACCGUUUUGUUUUUUUCCCCAUUUUAUUUAUUUUUUUAUACUUAAAAGCUAAAAUGUUCAUGUUAUGAUUCACCUCAUAGCUGAUUGGUGAAUAGCUUACAGCUCUAUAACAUAAUUUUUGGGAAAGAUACUUCUGGAACCAAGGUGGCUAAGAAGUGGGUGAGCGCUAUUGCCAUCUCACCCCAACUUCCUGUUUCACAUAGAUCCACCUCUGGGGGCGAGUCUUUUCCCAGUUCUUUGUUGACGGGGGUCAAUACGUGGGCCAUCACUGUACCCUGAGAUUAAACGGAAAGUGAAAUGCUUUGAAGAAAAGGGCCAAUGGAUUUCACUUUUCCAUGCUUCUUUCACUUGAAGUUUUCCAGAGUUCUUCCGAGGGAAGCAGCGUCGAUGUGAAAAAGCAAGUAUUCUUCAAUGAAUCUGUCCCUGAAUUCUGACAGUGCGACACGAAGGAUCCGACACCUUCAGUGAGAGAGAGGGAGAGAUGGUGUUUGCGUGUGUCUAGCGCUCAAAAAAAAAAAAAAAAAACAUUUAUUUCUCUGCCCAAAUGUUUACCCAGACAAUAAACAAUAGAAAAACAACUACGUGACUUGUCCUAGUGUUCGAGGAAAGAAAGGAUGCACUUGAAAAUAACUAAUGCAGGGAAAAAAUAGCGUUUUAAAAUACAUCUGAAUAAAAUAAAUGCACAACGUUUGUAGCUGAGGCGAGAUUGUCUCAAACUUUUAAUAUAAAUUGUAAUAGUUUAGAAAUCUACAACAUACUACUGAUAAAAAUAGGUCCACUGUUGUUAAAACCGAGAACACCAACUGAAAAAAAAACAUUUAUUGUUAUUU